rnacentral:rRNA from 1 species
UGGGGGAUAUUGCACAAUGGGCGAAAGCCUGAUGCAGCGACGCCGCGUGGGGGAUGAAGGCCUUCGGGUUGUAAACUUCUUUUGCUCUGAACAAGGCAUGCUAAUGGGUGUGUUGAGUGUAGGGGUUGAUUAGCGCCGGCUAACUACGUGCCAGCAGCCGCGGUAAUACGUAGGGCGCGAGCGUUGUCCGGAAUUAUUGGGCGUAAAGGGCUUGUAGGUGGCUGGUUGCGUCUGUCGUGAAAGCUCAUGGCUUAACUGUGGGUUUGCGGUGGGUACGGGCUGGCUUGAGUACAGUAGGGGAGGGUGGAAUUCCUUGUGUAGCGGUGGAAUGCGCAGAUAUCAGGAGGAAUACCGGUGGCGAAGGCGGGUCUCUGGGCUGUUAUUGACGCUGAGGAGCGAAAGCAUGGGGAGCGAACAGG